rnacentral:lncRNA from 1 species
UAUAAUUCUACGUAAUCUUAUUCCGUUAAGAAAACUUGUUAUAACCUUAUCAGAAAUUAAAACAACUUUCAAUGCUAUAAGAAGAGAGGUAAAAUCAUUUUAUACAAUACGAAACUCUCACCUCUCUGCAAGGCGUUCCAGAAACAAGCGAUACGUGAUCUGUGGAGCAGCUCCAACGAAAACACCACCCACAAAAUGGACAACUCCAACAGGAUCUCCUUUGCUCGGUCUUAGAAUCCAUGCUCCCUGGAGAAGGGAAACAAAAUCACCAGUGCUCUCCCCGCGAAAGAAAAAAAAAAGAAAAGAUAGAGCUUACUUGGAUUUCUUGCCAGCGUCCAAGAGUUCCUUGUGCUUUCAUCGCAGAGUUCACAAAAACCCUGGAAAGAAAGAAGAACAAGCAUGAAAACGAGGCAAUUCAUCGAAAUUCUUUCACCAGCAUACUUCUCGAUCUGUCCUUAGAGCUGGAGGCUACCAUUCUUUCCUUGCGGCUUCCCUUGGAACUCGAGGAGCUAGAAAACCUGGGAUUGUCUCGUCGCCGGCACCAUGACGCUGCCGCGGUCGCGAAUCCAGUGCCUGCCCUGGCAGAAGAAGCUGCGCAGUUGGGAAGGGUCGACAGUAGCCACGACUCUUUCAAACACAGAAAACCCUCGAAAUAUUUCCAUUACCAGCGCUGGAGGAGCGGAGCUAGCUCGUCUAGAUCGGCCGCGAGGUCAUUCUUCCUAGGGUUCUGGAGAUCGAGCAAAGAGGAGGAGGAAGAGGAGCUGCGCAGCUGCGUCGUGGAUUAUAGCUCUCUCACUCCAUCCGCUGCUAGGCCAAUCGAUCGCCAGGUAGAAGAAGGCGCCGCCGACGAUCAUCACCUCAAGCUCUACCAUGUUCGCCUCCAAGAUCAGCUCCAGGAAUUCCUGGACAAGACACUGGAGAUUAUCCGCGUGGAGGAGGAGCCAGAUCCUGCUCCAGUGGCUGCUCCAUCCCAGGAAGAAGACGAUGGAUUCCAUCUCUUUGGGAAAGCUCCGGCUGGGAUAACAAUGAUAGAGAGAGUCAGGGAUGGAUCUCUAGAGCACAGGGCUAGUGGCAAACGCUACAUUCACAGUACAAGGGGGUGGUUUUCUAGUGGCAAGAACUCGUUAGAGAAUGUAGUGAUCGAUGCUGAGAGUGUGAGAGUAGAGGCGGAGAAGGCGAGAGAGAAGGCUCUGGCAGCAUGGAAGGAUAGAAUUUCUAGAAAGGAAGAAGCCAUUGCUAGAGAGAACUCGAGGGUGGCGGCACUGAAACAAGUCAGGGGUGAGAAGUGGAUUUGCUAGCUCAAUUCAUGUUCUUCAUCAGAGAGAGAGAAGCCUUCUCGAAGGAGCAGCGAUCGAGUUCACUAAUGUAAGUUAUUGAUUUUUGACAAUCCUGGGAGAAACUAUUUCUUUCUCGUUUUCCUUGUGCUAAGCAUGACACGAUGCGAACUUACAGGUUCUCAGAUUUUUAUACAUUAGCGUUAAGAACCCAGACCGAAUCAGUCAACCACUCUUUGAGAUACAAAGACACGUUGUUGCCACCAAUCAC